UCGAACACUUGUCAUUCGAAGUGUACUUUCAGCCUGCACGAAGAGGUUGCAGAACUAAGCUUAUUUACGCCAGCGAAGAGCCCUAGCUCUCAUGGUUUAUAGUUUACGGAAAGGUAAGUCCCCUGAAGCCGGCACGUUGAGAUGUUGGCUGCGCUUGACAUACUCGUACAGCAAAUGACAGGUCCAGAGAAUUCAGUAGUGAAUACUCCUAAGUUAGAACAUCGAUGAAAAUCACAGCGAAUAACCUCGCCAUAGUCUCCCUCUCGUUGCAUUUCUAGUGAAAUUGUGCCACAUUUUUGCCUACCCCAGACUGCGUUUUGUUGACGUAGAACUCCUCACCCUUUGCUAGGGAACAUUUUAAAUGUCAGGCGACCCGCCGUGGUUGCUCAGUGGCUAUGGUGUUGGGCUGCUGAGCACGAGGUCGCGGGAUCGAAUCCCGGCCACGGCGGCCGCAUUUCGGUGGGGGCGAAAUGCGAAAACACCCGUGUACUUAGAUUUAGGUGCAUGUUAAAGAACCCCAGGUGGUCCAAAUUUCCGGAGUCCCCCACUACGGCGUGCCUCAUAAUCAGAAAGUGGUUUUGGCACGUAAAACCCCAUAAAAAAAAAAGAAAAAAUAAAUAAAUGUCAGGUACAAUGCGCUAAAGGUGACCAUUUCGUACAGCAGCCUUUUUGCUGCAAACUGACCGCAGAAUUCCCUUGAUCUAGCAGUAAUGCAACAAAAAUGAUAUCCCCGCAGGCGGAACGUUUUCGGCAGGGUCGGCAGGCGUAGGAAAUGCGGCUGUCGUGCAUGGAGGGACAACCACUGGCGGGACAUUUUCGGGCAUGUCCACUGGUGGCGGCUCUGCUAAUGCAGUGGCGGCAGGAGCUCUAGGUGGAGGGCCAGCCUCGACUCAUGCCGUGAGCGGCGUACAUUUACCUUCCCCUUCGAUGCCAAUACAGAGCGGC